AUUCAACUGGUCAUAACGACUCUGAAUCCAUUCAGCAUCAGUCAACUAGGGAUUUUGAGGGUAUACUUUUCUUUUAUUUUUCUUUCUUUUGAAAUUUUUUUCCCGAUUUUUGAUUUUUUCAUCUUUUUCACCCUCUUCUUUUUUUUCUUUUUACAUUACCUUUGUAAUGCCCCAGUUUGACUGUUGCUGGGUUCUUGAGACACAGCUGAAUGAUCUGCUUUUCACCGCUCGAAUGCUCGGGAAAUCUCAUCAGGAAUCCCUUCAACAUCA
rnacentral:lncRNA from 1 species